rnacentral:rRNA from 1 species
GACGAACGCUGGCGGCGUGCUUAACACAUGCCAGUCGAACGGAAAGGCCCUGCUUUUGUGGGGUGCUCGAGUGGCGAACGGGUGAGUAACACGUGAGUAACCUGCCCUUGACUUUGGGAUAACUUCAGGAAACUGGGGCUAAUACCGGAUAGGAGCUCCUGCUGCAUGGUGGGGGUUGGAAAGUUUCGGCGGUUGGGGAUGGACUCACGGCUUAUCAGCUUGUUGGUGGGGUAGUGGCUUACCAAGGCUUUGACGGGUAGCCGGCCUGAGAGGGUGACCGGCCACAUUGGGACUGAGAUACGGCCCAGACUCCCACGGGAGGCAGCAGUGGGGAAUAUUGCACAAUGGGCGGAAGCCUGAUGCAGCAACGCCGCGUGCGGGAUGACGGCCUUCGGGUUGUAAACCGCUUUCGCCUGUGACGAAGCGUGAGUGACGGUAAUGGGUAAAGAAGCACCGGCUAACUACGUG